CCCCGCCUCUUUGCUGCACGACACCCCUUCCAGCUGCCACUCACUCCCCGGGGCCCAGGGAGCCUCCUGAGUGAGUGACAGUCCCCCCCUCCCCCCACAGCAAUAUGCCAGCCGCCGUGCCAAAACGGAGGGAGCUGUGUCCGGCCGGGACGCUGCCACUGCCCCGCUGGGUGGCAGGGAGGCAGCUGUCAGACAGACGUGGAUGAGUGCAGUGCCGGAGGGGGCGGCUGCGCCCAGCGGUGUGUCAACACGGCGGGGAGCUACUGGUGCCAGUGUUGGGAGGGGCACAGCCCCUCUGCGGACAGGGUGGCCCCGAACCCCACCAGAGGAGUGGACAGGGAGGUGCAGGAGGAGGUCCAGAGGCUGCGAUCGCGGGUGGACGUGCUGGAGCAGGUGAGGCUGGCGGGACUGGGGCUGGGGCAGCCCCCGUGGUCUGUCGGCUGUGUUCAGUGGGGAGGCACCCCGAUACUGACAGCCCAGGGGGGCCCUGGACCUGGGUUCCUUGCCGGACGGGGCAACGGGAGAGGACGGGGACCCCACAGGAGGGGCCGAGAGCUCAGCCCCAUCCCUUCAGGCCACAGAGAACCUGAACCCAGGUGCUGCUCACCCGCCUUUGCCCCCGGGGACAGUGUCCUGUGGGCCUUCCCACCGGGGCCAUCGGCCUGACACCCCAGACGCUCUGUCCUCAGGGACCUGGGCCCGGCUGGCCCGGC